AACGAACGCUGGCGGCAUGCCUAACACAUGCAAGUCGAACGAGAUCUUCGGGUCUAGUGGCGCACGGGUGCGUAACGCGUGGGAACCUGCCCUUUGGUUCGGAAUAACAGUUGGAAACGACUGCUAAUACCGGAUGAUGACGAAAGUCCAAAGAUUUAUCGCCAGAGGAUGAGCCCGCGUAGGAUUAGCUAGUUGGUGUGGUAAAGGCGCACCAAGGCGACGAUCCUUAGCUGGUCUGAGAGGAUGAUCAGCCACACUGGGACUGAGACACGGCCCAGACUCCUACGGGAGGCAGCAGUGGGGAAUAUUGGACAAUGGGCGAAAGCCUGAUCCAGCAAUGCCGCGUGAGUGAUGAAGGCCUUAGGGUUGUAAAGCUCUUUUACCCGGGAUGAUAAUGACAGUACCGGGAGAAUGAGCUCCGGCUAACUCCGUGCCAGCCGCCGCAGUAA
rnacentral:rRNA from 1 species